rnacentral:lncRNA from 1 species
UUUGUCUGGGCCAUAGUUUUUCUCGUUCUGGAUCUCUCUACACGGUUAAGUGUUUGAUUGGAAAAUCAAUAACAGAGCCGAAGCUCUGAUACCAAUUGAAGGUGAGAAAAACAAGAAAGGGGGGUUUGAAUUGUUUUGGAAAAUAAGCGCUUCUUGCAAAAUAAAAUCACACAAGAUUUUAUACUGGUUCACUUAUAACACAAAACUACUCCAGUCCACCCGGCCAAG